UGGGGUGGGAGCCUGGUUCCCACCUGCGAGUGCUGAUCCUCCCCAGCCUCUCUAAGGACAAACCCACCUCAACCACUGCCACCUGGGCUCUGCAGGUGAGGCUGGGGGCAUUUAAUGGCUCCUGCUGCCUGUCCCCCUUCCCCUGGGCUGUGUCCUGCCGCUCCACCACAUCCCUCCUGCAGCAUGGGCUCAGCCUCGGUGCCUGUGUUGGAUUUGGGCCUCAGCCUGCCCUUGGUGCUACAGGUUACUGCAGUAAAAGGAUUGUCCUGAAACCUUUCUUGAAGGUUUUCUGAAAACAGAGAAAAGGCACUGAGGUGUUCCCUGAAGGAACUGAAGUUAUUUAUCAUCAUGUGAGUGAAAUUCAAAGACAUCCACUGCACACUUGUGAAAUCAGCCUGGGAGAAUGACCACGGCCUCGUGUAGAGGAUGGCAGCACGGUGCUGGGUGCAGGACAAACAGCAGAGGAGGCAGACUGAGCCUGGUGAACCCAAAGGCUGUGGAUCACCUUGAUUCUGCAGCAGGCCUGCAGCUGGAUCAGGCAUGAGUGGGAUUCCUUCACAUAACACAACAAGCUGGUUUUUAGGUUGGUUUUAUUUGUUUUGUGCUGUAACCUUUCUGUUCUGUCCAUUCCUGCUCAAAGUCCAUGAUUCUCCUGCCACCAAUUCGGAUGCUUGUUCAAAAGUGCAGAUUUGGGGGUCUGCCUGUGUACCCAAGAGUGGCUGAGCUCUUUGACAGAGCAACAUUAUCCGCAGAGAGAAGGAUAGAAACAGUAGUGCAGCUGUAAAUCAAGAAGCACAGCAAAAUUAAGCAGCACUUCCAUCAAAACAAGUGAACUGUGAAACAGAAAUAUGCAAGAAAUGUUUCCAGAAGUGAGGAAAUGAAAGGCAGAAUCCAUUUUACCACAUUCUGCCCACCAGGCCCCAUCACUUAAAUCUGUAUUUACCAUGCAGGUAACGGAGCUGCUAGGGCUCCAGGAAGCCUGCAAUUAGGCAGCUGUGCAGACAGAGCUAAUUGAAAUUCUCAGUGAUGAGGAUGAAUGCAGAAAAGUAUUCUGAUAGUUUUUACCUUCUCCAAAAUGCUUUUAACAUUCAUCAAGAAGUUCCUCGCAUUCUUCUGAUUUUCAGGCUUCCUACUUGAAGCUUCACAUCUGAGAGUUAUUUUGACGGACAACCCAGUUAAACCGUGAAUUAGUCAUUUACAGGCAACUUUCUUCUGUUUCCACAGUUCAGCUGCAGAAUAUUAAAGGCUUGUAGGUGUUACGGGUAGUCAUAUAUUGCAGCAAUAAUGUGUCCUACUGCUAUGAACAUCAUUGCAGAAUUCAUCAAUUCCAUGAAAAAUAGUUCCACGUGCACGAGUGUGUAAGUUCACUGCAGUGCUCGUGCCUGGACUGUGCCAAUGCUGCCGACAGCAAGAGACAUAGAUCACUCCGUGAUGCUGCUGAAUGCCUCCCUACAUACAUAUGAAAAUGCCUCUUUGAAAUUAAAUUCACAAUUUUGGGCCCUCCCCAGCACCCCAUAGGUACAUCUGUUUUUGGAGCCACUUAAUGUAUAUUCUGGUAGGCACAGCUUUAUAUUUAAUAUCUUCAUUUCAAGAUAAAAUCCUUCCCUCUUGCCUGUUCUCAGAUUGAGUGAGUGUGGUUGCUGGUACAGCUGUGAAAUGACUGCAAGUUUGGGGGUAGUGUAAGGAUUCUUAUUCCUGUUGGAAAGUGAUGCUUCUCACAAAUGAAAAAUAAGUAAGCAACGAACACAAAACCAAAAUAAGCACGAGGAACUGUACACUCAUUCACUGCUCUGGUUGGUGUCCUCUGCAGGUGUAGCCACUCGUUAGAUGCAGUCAGAUGGAGGACCACAUAAUUAACAGCUUUUCUGACCCUCUAAUCUCACAGCCUAGGAACGAUCUCUCCUGCUGAAGGUGGCUUCUAACACAGAAGUCCCUUCUCUAAAGAGCUUGCAAUCAGCAGUUAGGCUUUACUAAAUGCAAUAAGCUAAUGUAUCUCUAUAAAACAUCCCACUUGGUAUUUGUGUUUCAGAUAGCAACACAAAUUAGAGCAGGCACAACAACAUUCAGAUGCAAAGCCAUUUCCUCACUAGCUAGCAAAAUUGUAAUAAAUUCGGUACAAAGGAGGUUAUUAGAGCUGCUUGCUAAACUGUUCUGCAGAGGAAGGUCUGGGCAGAGACCUGCAGCUCUCAUUACAGCCCACACCUGCCUGAAUGUCUCCAGGUGAGCUCUGCUCACACCAGCCUUCGAGACCAGCAGGAGAUGGUGUUUCUGCUGCUAGCAGUGCCCACGGACUUCAGGUCCUACUGGAGAAGCAUUUUGGGGCUCCAGUACUCCCAGUACACCGCCGUGCCUAUCUCACCGAGGUAACCAACGCAUCUCGGCAGCACAACGAGAACGGGAUUUUUUCCUCCCGCUCCGUGCCCAGACCUUAUGUGGGAACUUUCCUGGCUAAAUGCCGGCGGGGUGAUGUAACCCAGCGACUGGCAUUCAGCGGGUGAGAUUGAUGGCAACGUCUCGUCGAUAAAUCCAUACAGACCCCAAAGCCGUGAUGAACGUGCAGGAGGUAAAGGCAAUGGUUAAUAUCUUCAAAAUAGGCCCCAGAGCCUUCAAGUGCAGGCAAAGAGGGAAGGACGGUGACCCUUGUUAAUCUUUUUAUUGGCUCCAGCAGCUAUUGGCACCUUUCGCUGGCCAGAAAUUUGCAAGUCUUUGGGGAGCAAUGAUUUCACAGGCGGGGGCUCUGAGAGAGAGGAAAGAAAUCCCUCCGCUCCUAAAAUGGGACCAUUCUUCCAGAUGAAAAUUGACAUUUUGGUUUGAACUUCACGACCCCCAGCAAUCACACUAAUGGCCCUGGCUGGCCGGGGGGCUGGCUGCGGCCAGGACGGACGGGCCGCGAUGGAUGGCUAGAAGGGCUGGGAAAUGGGGUGGUAGAGGUGCUGACAGCCUGCUCCAGCUGCCCGAGGUGCUGUGGGGUCAUUGCUGACCUGCUCUGUGGACUCUCAUCCGAAUCAGGUUUGACCUCGGUUCCUGGAAACCUUUGGGGAGGCAGCCGCUGGGAGAGCCUGGGGAGUGCUCUCGGCCAUCCCGUGCCAAGCCCCUGCCUCCCCUCCUCGCUCACUUCUUUAAGCAAACACACAUCUCGUGAACUCUUUCCUUGGAGGAAGGACAAAUUGGUUUCUCCUUGGAGUAAUCCCUAAAGACAAGAGGGAAGAAACCCAAUACACCCUACAGGCUCCCUGAGCAGCCCCAGGCAGGUAGCGUUGACUUCCAGGUGUAACAAGAGGAAUUAACACUGCCUGGUAGUGCAUCCCUUUCCUGAAAGGCUUGGCAGAUAUUUUGGCUAGGUUAUUUUCAGCCCCUCGGCGGAUCAAGGGGGCGCAGACCCCAGCCAGGGCAGCUCCACUCCUCCAGUACAGCCGAGAUUCCUGGCAAGGCCAAAUCCUGGCAUCAGGUAAAAAAAAUCUGGGAUGAAAAUCACAUUGGAUGGCACACUGUUGUUACCCACCUGCAUAGUGUAGCUGGGGUCAGGAAGCAGCUCUGAGUAAGGAUGCAGGAGGGUCCUUCUAUUUUCUAAAUACCUCAUUUAGUAGGUUAAUAUUCUAUGUUAUUUUAGGCCGCUUUCUUCAUGCAUCUGCCACCCAAGCCUGUGCAGAUGUUUUAGGAUUCUUUAAUCCUGACAAAGGACUUAGCGUUAAGGAAAAAUGGGUUACAUAAAGAUCCUUAUCUCCUUAAGAAAAAAAAAUAAAAAAAGCAUGUUUGGGGCAUAUUGUGAACAAAACAAGACUAAAAUAGAGGCAGAACAUCCCAGGGCCACUUACCAGAUGUGCAGGUUGGAUGAUCUGGGUCUCGCCUGCCCGGAGCGGGCACAGGGGGCAGGUCCUUGUGCAGGCACCGGGCUGUGGUGUGGUGUGGGUUGCUCAGAGAGAGCUGUUCUCCUCGCUGCUGAGAGCAGGGAAGGUGACCCCCAACCCGUCCUCCUGCCCCGGCCCCGAGCUGCCCGAGGUUCCUGCCCGGCGUACAGUAUUUCAUCCCGUAAAAUUGACAAAGUUCUCGCAUUUUCGUGACUCUCGUGAUUGAUCCAGCCCAUGUAAAUUACAAAAAGGAGUUGCAAUCCUCUGGGGUCUGAGGCAGAAUAUCAAAAGAGCACGGGCUCAUGCUGCUUUAAUUAAAACUUAGUUUAAUUAAAAACCUUGAGAGCUUUAUUAGACUCAGUAAUUGAUUUAAUUUGCUUGUGGAAUUCCAUUACAAAACACUUCCAAGCAUGCUGGCUUUGGGAUCCCGGCCCCAGGACCGUCCUCCUCCCUGAUCGGUGCCUUUGCCCUCUCCAAGGGAUGGGGGACACACGUGUGAGCUCCUUGGCCAGCAGAACCAAGCUGUUGGCUCUCAGGGGCAAUUCCCACUCAGGGAGGGUCAGUGGAUGCGCCAGAGAGAAGCCCUUCUGGCCAGGACACAGGGAAUCAAACUGUAAAAUAAUAAUAAUAUGUAAAAAAAAAAAAGCAGCACACAAUGAUUGUCUGAUCUAUAUUUAUUUCAUAACAUCCAGAAUUAAUAGGAUACAGGAGUUAAAGCAACCAUGGCAACUGAAUGCAGAAAGGGCUGUCCUUGUAAAUAAAUGAAUUCAUAAAUAACUCACAAGUGCUGAUAUAAAAAGUCAUGGGAACCUAAUGCAAUGCUAAUGCAAUUCAAGCCUUCCCUUUUUUGCAUGCAGUAUUAUAAUCCGGGGUGCGCCAUGCUUUGCUCUGUGCUACAA